rnacentral:lncRNA from 1 species
UUUCCCGUAGGGUUCUAUCAGAAUUUCUGGGAAGUAAUGAAACCGGCCCUCAUGGAUCUCUUUGGCAACUUAGAUGCUGGCCAACUAGAUUUAUUCCGCUUAAACUUCGGCGAGAUUAUAUUAUUACCUAAGGUUAAUGAGGCUGAAACGAUACAAUAAUAUAUAUCUAUAUGCCUCCUUAAUGAUAGUUUUAAAAUCUUCACGAAGGUCGCGACUAUUAGGCUCAAUGCUUGCUGAACAUGUGGUUCGUCCCUCGCAUACUGCUUUUAUGCAAGGCCGAAAGAUCCUAGAUGGAGUUGUCAUCCUUCAUGAAAUAGUCCAUGAAUUACACCGGAAAAAGUUGAAUGGGGUGGUUCUUAAAAUCGACUUUGAAAAAUCUCACGACAAAUUCAAGUGGUCUUUUCUUCAACAGACUUUCAAAAUGAAAGGUUUUUCUGCAGAGUGGCAUGCUAUGAUCCAUAGCUUCGUUUCUGGAGGUAGUGUAUCCAUUAAAGUCAAUGAUGACGUUGGCAAGUACUUCCAGACAAAGAAAGGCUCAAGACAAGGUGACGCAAUAUCGCCCAUGCUAUUCAAUAUAGUGACGGAUAUGUUAGUUGUCAUGAUUAAACGUGCCAAGGUUGAUGGCCAAAUUGAUGGAGUAGUGAAUCACCUUGUAGAUGGUGGUCUCUCUAUCCUCCAAUAUGCUGAUGAUACAAUUCUCUUCAUGGAUCAUGACCUAGAGAAGGCAAGAAACCUGAAAUUAAUUUUACCAGCUUUUGAGAAAUUCUCGGGUCUUAAGAUAAACUUCCAUAAAAGUGAGUUAUUUUAUUUUGGCGAGGCUCAAGAUGAGGCUCACCUGUAUGCUGACUUGUUUGGCUAUGGGUUGGGCCAGUUUCCGAUCACAUAUUUGGGAAUAUCGAUACACUAUCAGAGACUCAGAAAUGUUGAAUGGAAACAUGUCGAGGAGAGACUACAAAAAAGACAAAACAGCUGGAAAGGUAAACUGAUAUCUCUAGGCGAUUGGUCCUCAUAAAUUCUGUACUAAGCAACAUGGUAUUAUAUAUGAUUUCCUUCUUCCAACUGCCUGAAGGAGUUCUACAUAGAUUGGNN